rnacentral:rRNA from 1 species
AUUGAACGCUGGCGGCAGGCCUAACACAUGCAAGUCGAGCGAGCGGCGGACGGGUGAGUAAUGUAUGGGGACUGCCCGAUAGAGGGGGAUAACUACUGGAAACGGUAGCUAAUACCGCAUACUAUCGGAUAACCCAUAUGGGAUUAGCUAGUAGGUGAGGUAAUGGCGCACCUAGGCGACGAUACCUAGCUGGUCUGAGAGGAUGAUCAGCCACACUGGGACUGAUACCGGGCCCAGACUCCGACGGAGGCAGCGGUGGGGAAUAGUGCGCAAUGGGCGCAAGCCUGAUGCAGCCAGGCCGCGUGUAUGAAGAAGGCCCUAGGGUUGUAAAGUACUUUAAGUCGGGAGGCGUUACCGACAGAAGAAGCACCGGCUAACUCCGUUCCAGCAGCCGCGGUAAUUC